GAUGAAGAACGUAGCGAAAUGCGAUAAGUAAUGUGAAUUGCAGAAUUCAGUGAAUCAUCGAAUCUUUGAACGCACAUUGCGCCCGCCAGCAUUCUGGCGGGCAUGCCUGUUCGAGCGUCAUUUCAACCAUCAAGCCCCAGGCUUGCGUUGGAGCCCUGCGGCCGCCGCAGCCUCCGAAAUACAGUGGCGGGCUCGCUAUCACACCGAGUGCAGUAGUUUACUCUUCGCUCAGGGCGUGUGGCGGGUGCUAGCCGUGAAACCCCCAACUUCUCAAGGUUGACCUCGGAUCAGGUAGGAAUACCCGCAGAACUUAAGCAUAUCAAUAAGCGGAGGA
rnacentral:misc_RNA from 1 species